rnacentral:rRNA from 1 species
UGGGGAAUAUUGCACAAUGGGGGAAACCCUGAUGCAGCGACGCCGCGUGAGCGAAGAAGGCCUUCGGGUCGUAAAGCUCUUUUAUAUGGGAAGAUAAUGACGGUACCAUAAGAAAAAGCCCCGGCUAACUACGUGCCAGCAGCCGCGGUAAUACGUAGGGGGCUAGCGUUGUCCGGAAUCACUGGGCGUAAAGGGUUCGCAGGCGGCAAUGCAAGUCCGAUGUAAAAGGCGAAGGCUCAACCUUCGUAAGCAUCGGAAACUGUCAAGCUUGAGUGAAGGAGAGGCAAGUGGAAUUCCUAGUGUAGCGGUGGAAUGCGUAGAUAUUAGGAGGAAUACCGGUGGCGAAGGCGACUUGCUGGACUUCAACUGACGCUGAGGAACGAAAGCGUGGGUAGCAAACAGG